rnacentral:rRNA from 1 species
UACGCACGCUGGCGGCGUGCUUAACACAUGCAAGUCGAACGGAAAGGCCUUUUCGGAGGUACUCGAGUGGCGAACGGGUGAGUAACACGUGGGUGAUCUGCCCUGCACUCUGGGAUAAGCCUGGGAAACUGGGUCUAAUACCGGAUAGGACCGCACUUUAGUGUGUGUGGUGGAAAGUUUUUUCGGUGUAGGAUGAGCCCGCGGCCUAUCAGCUUGUUGGUGGGGUAAUGGCCUACCAAGGCGGCGACGGGUAGCCGGACUGAGAGGUUGGUCGGCCACAUUGGGAUUGGAAAGCGGCCAGGCCUCCUCGGGGGGGGAGCAGUGGGGAAUGUUGAAUAAUGGGCGGAAGCCGGAUGCAGUGACGCCGCGGGGGGUGUGGCGGCCUUCGGUUUGUAAACUCUUUUCGCCAGGGAAGAAGUGUUUUGGGGAGGUGCCGGGAGAAGAAGCCCCGGCGAAUUGCGG